AUGCAAGUCGAACGUCCUGGUCCUUCGGGAGCAGGGAGUGGCGGACGGGUGAGGAACACGUGGGUCACCUACCCUUUGGUGAGGAAUACCGCCGAGAAAUCGGCGACAAGACCGCAUAGGCUUCUUUGGGGAAGCAAAGCUGUUGACGCGAGUCAAUGGCGCCAGAGGAUGGGCCUGCGCCCGAUUAGCUAGUUGGUGAGGUAACGGCUCACCAAGGCGACGAUCGGUAGCUGGUCUGAGAGGAUGGACAGCCACACUGGGAUUGAGAACGGCCCAGACUCCUACGGGAGGCAGCAGUGAGGAAUUUUCCGCAAUGGAGGCAACUCUGACGGAGCAACGCCGCGUGCAGGAGGACGGUCUUCGGAUUGUAAACUGCUUUUCCCAGGGACGAGCAAGGACGGUACCUGGGGAACAAGCCCCGGCUAACUACGUGCCAGCAGCCGCGGUAAUACGUAUGGGACAAGCGUUGUCCGGAGUUACUGGGCGUAAAGCGCCCGCAGGCGGUGUGCCACGUUUGCACUGACAGUGCCCAGCUUAACUGGGCAAGGCGUGCAAAGAC
rnacentral:rRNA from 1 species